rnacentral:rRNA from 1 species
GAUGAACGCUGGCGGCGUGCCUAAUACAUGCAAGUCGAGCGAACAGACGAGAGUGCUUGCACUCUCUGACGUUAGCGGCGGACGGGUGAGUAACACGUGGGUAACCUACCUAUAAGACUGGGAUAACUUCGGGAAACCGGAGCCAAUACCGGAUAAUAUUUAGCUUCGCAUGAAGCAAUAGUGAAAGACGGUUCUGCUGUCACUUAUAGAUGGACCCGCGGUGUAUUAGCUAGUUGGUGAGGUAACGGCUCACCAAGGCAACGAUACAUAGCCGACCUGAGAGGGUGAUCGGCCACACUGGGACUGAGACACGGCCCAGACUCCUACGGGAGGCAGCAGUAGGGAAUCUUCCGCAAUGGACGAAAGUCUGACGGAGCAAUGCCGCGUGAGUGAAGAAGGUUUUCGGAUCGUAAAACUCUGUUGUAAGGGAAGAACAAGUACGUUAGUAACUGAACGUACCUUGACGGUACCUUACCAGAAAGCCACGGCUAACUACGUG